AAGAGCAGUGAUAAAUGAAUUUCUCACAUGUUUUAUCACAGAAAUCACAAACACACCUUGUGUAAGAAGAUGGUGGCUCUUGCAGAAGAACAAGAGGAUGAUGAGGAUGAAAAGGAUGUUUAAGCUCCAAAGGUGCGUCGGCACAAGCCUUGUGAAGAUAAAACCCACAGUGCUCCACACAGCAAAAACAUGGAACAGACACCUCCUCCCCGCACCUGGAGCAAUGAGUUACACCACUUUGAUUGUGGAUCAGCUGGUCUUGAUUCAAGAUAAGAAGCAGGGGAUGUUGGUGGCCAUAAUUGUUAGACUCCUCCAUUUCUCCUUCGCCAAGCAAUAUAAAUAAAGGAAAAAGCUUGAUUUUGGAAGCAAAGAUUGAAAGGGAAAACAAGAUUACUAAGUGAAGAAAGAUAAAGAAUGAGGAAGUAGGAGAGCAUUUGAUAUUUAGAGGCAGAGGCAGAGGGUCGCUUAUAGUAAACAAUAGAGGUGAACUCAAUUAGGUAGUCAAUGUUCUUAUCUUUUGGUUGUAGAGCUCUGCCUGCUUCACACUUGCUUUUGAGGUUGGGUUGAUUUGAUAUUCAUGACUAUCAAUCCUUUUUUGUUUUAUUUCGAAAUUCCCGAAUUAUUUUAUACUAGACACCAUAUGUCAGUAUAUAUAUAUGUAUAUAUGUACAUGUUAAUCAAUUUUCUUGACACUUUCCUUCACACCACUUUCAUCCUUCAAUUAUUGUGGUGAACCAACGAUGUCGAAAAUAGUAAAUAAGCACAACCGGAACUUUACAGAAUUCUACUCAAAUUAUCAAGUCAACAAAUUAAAGUGUAAUUAACAUUUAAUAUUACACCAAAAAGAAACCACUUUUGGUAGAAUGUGCGUCUUACAUUGUGAGCUUUCAACUAAAGUUAUGUUUUUUUCUCUUUUAAAAGCAGUUUAUUUAUUUAAAUUUAAAAAAAAUUGAUUUAUUUUUCUAAAUACUUUUUUAAAAUGGUCUUUUUAUUUAAUUUGUCUAGUAAUAAUUUGUCUUCAAUUUUAAAGCCUAAAUGGUAAAUAAACUAAAUUCCAAAAAAUAAAAAUAUAAGAAUUAAAUUUUAAAUUUUAAAUUUAUGAAUAAUACAAUGGUGACUGUGCUUGGCCUCCAUUUCUCCUUCCCCAAGCAAUAUAAAUAAAGGAAAAGCUCGAUUUUGGGAGGAAAGUUUGAAUGGGAAAACAAGAUUACAAGUGAAGAAAGAUAAUGAUGGAGGAAGUGGGAGAGCAUUUGAUAUUUUGAGGCAAAGGUCAACUCAAUUAGCUAGUGAAUGCUUUUAUUCAAGAUAACACAUGCUGUUCAUGGUGGGUUGAUUUGAUGUUUAUGAGAUUUAUUUAAAUCAAUUUUGUUUACAGUUUCAGCCUUCAAUUAUUGUGGUGAACCCAACUUUCAGCGAACACAUACAAGAGCAAUUCAUGAGUUGUCGGGAAAAGUUUGGCUAUCUUUUUACACAAGAUAGGCAGUGGAGUAUUCGCUCUUUUUAAAAUGGAAAGUGGUUUAUUUUCUUAAUAUUUUAAAUUAAUAAUAAUAAAAUUAUAUUUUUAUUUUUCUUAAAAUUAAUAAAAUUCUAAUUUAAUUUUUUAAAAAUUAUAAAAAUAAUAAUUAAAAAUUUAAAUUUACUCCUCUAAAAAGUUUUUCUAACUAUACGGAAAGAUAGUUUGUUUUUGUUUUUUCGUUCUUUAAGUAAAAGCUAGAUACUAAUAAUGAUUUUCUUUUUUUACUUUGUUAUAAUGUUAAUUUACCAAAAUAAUUUUUUUAAAUGAAAUAUUGAAAUAAGUUACUGUUGACACCAUUUUUUUGAUGAAAACGGGGUCGACUUGGAUUUUGAAAAUGAAAACGGGAGUCGCCACCAAUCUUUUAUUAAGGUGUGAUUGGAUCACCUCGAAAAGCGGUCGUUUUUUAAUAAACGGUUUGAUUUUAUUAAAACAACAAGUUUGGUCCGCGAAAUUCAGAAAACGGGUUCGGGAGUCGGUUACGCACGAGGAAGGAUUAGCACCCUCGAUACGCCCAAAAUUGGUACCUUAGUUGAUUACUUAAUGUCUUAAUGUCAAAAAUUGAAAACUUAGAAGAAUUAAAAAAAAUACGAUCCUUGUAUUAAAACGUUGAAAAUUUUCAGGAAAAUGGGCAUAUUUCACAUUAUUCGAGAAAGAGAAUCAUAUCCAGUAAGUUAGAAUACAAUGUCUCAAAUUCCCAAUACGUAAAUGAAUGCCAGAAUUUUACUUAUUUAAAAGAUAUUUUAUUAUCUCGGGUUUAGGAAAGGGAUCAUGCCCAGUAAGUUAGGACACGAUCUUUUCUUAAUUCCCGAGAUCGUUUCAAAACUUGAGUUUGAAAAGAUCAGUGUGUUUAGAUUUAUUGUGGAAAUCGAAACCCAGUAAGUUAGGGUACGAUCCUCUCGAAUCUAAACAAAAAAUAUCACUUUUUUUAAACAAAUUUUAUUAUCGAGUAAAAUAAAAACAUGAAGUCGUAGUAAAAAAUGUGAAAGCAAAUUACAUUGUUAUACAUGACAAAAUCAUAAUGAAUACAAAAGUGUAAAAAUGAUACGAGCGAUAGCAACAAUAUAAAAUAAAUAAAAGUCAAACCCACAAUCAUAUAAAAUAACAAUAUAUAUAAACAAAUAAAUUAAACAUUCGUUCAAAAUAAUAAUGAAAAUGAAAUAAAUAAAUAAUGAAUACAAUCAAAAUUCAAAGGGAUAUAUAUAUUUAUGUGUAUAGACAAAAGAAAAUAUAAUAUGUGUGUAUUCAUAAAUUACAAUGUAUAUAUGUAAAGUAUACUUUAAAAUAUAAAAAAUAUGCAUAUAGAUAAAAAUAUGUACACAUAUAUAUAGAUGUAUAAAAUUAUGGAAUAUGAAAAUAAUGAAAUGCAUAUAUAAAGUAGGCGCAUGAAAAUAUGUAUGUACAAAUUAGAAUUUAAAAAUAAUGAAAAUAUACCGACGUAUACAAAUAAGUACGUUAAUUUAUAUAUAUAUAUGUUUAAAAUAUAUUGAAAAUAUGUAUGUAUAUGUCUAUGCAAAUUAAGAUAUACAAAAACAUAUAAAUAUAUACAUAAAUAUAUAUAUACUUAUAAAAAUAAAAAUAUGUAUGUGUAUAGAUAUAUAUAAAAAGAAAUAUGAGUAUACGUAUAUAUAUUAAACAAAUUAUAUGUAAAAUAUGUACAUGUACAUAUACAAGCACUUAUAUGAUAAUAAAAAAAUAUAUAUAUUUGAAAAUACAUAAGUAUAUAUGAAUAGAGAUGUAAAAGUAACAACAAUAAUACCAAUACUAAUAAUAGUAAAGAUGAUAAUAAUAAUAAUAAUAAUAAUAAUAAUGAAGUUAACAAAAAUUGACUAAAUAAUAAAAUAUGCUAAAAAGGGGCCUUAAAUCGAAAUGAAAUAGAACAUAUAGGGCCAAUUCGAAAUAAAGGAAAACGAAAGGGAUCCAAUUGCGACGCGCGUAAAAAAGGGAAGGACCGAAACAGAAAAUAAACCCAAAAUCCCAAAACGCAGCACCUCAAUGGACUAAAAUAAAACAAAAAUAAAAUGUUAGGGCUAAAUCAAAAUAAAAUAAAACAACAAAAUAGGACCAAAUUGAAACACGCCGCGAAUCAGAGGGACUGCGCGCAUAAAUAGCCCAAAAAUUAAAAACACGCGGAUCCUUCGGGUCGGGUCGGGUCGACGCGCGGAUCCCCUUUGCUAAAACGGCGUCGUUUCAUUUUGAAUAUAAAUAAUAGAAAAAAACAAAAAAAACAAAUCAGAUUCAUUUUUUAGAAAAAAAAGCUGAGAGGGAGAGUCUCUCUCUCAUUCUUUCAGGCCCGGCGUUGGUCAUCGGCCGAACUAGGCCUCCGGCGAUUCUCCGCCCUAGCGCCGCCGCGUAUGGUGGCCGGAGUAUCCCAAAAAUCGGAUUUUUUCAUCCUUUUCGAAGUUAAGUGCGUCUUAAGCACGAAUCGAAGGGUUAAAUCCGAAAAAGGAGGUCCGAAACUUGAAGAACGAGGAGAGACCACUCGCCCUUCCCCUUUCGACGUAGCACAGGUAACCCCUAUUCCUAUUUUGUUUUGUUAAAAGAGUUGUAGAAAAUAAAAAAAAUAAUAGAAGACAGGAAAUAAAACGCAAGAAUCUGAGAAAAAAAUCUGAAAUCCACCUUUUCUUUCGCUUUUUUAUCUUCUUAUUAUUCACUGAUUGUUGUUAAUUCCUUGUUUGAUACCCAAAAUCCCCCAAGCCCCCUUUUACAUAUUAAAUCUGGCUUUUUAUAGCCGAAAGAAAGAAAAAAAAUUUGUCUUCGUUUCUGCUUGCGUGUUUGUUUCUCUUUGCAGGUGGAGCGGGUGGAGCAGGUGAGCAGCGAUGGGACGUGCGGCGGCCAGCAAGUGAACGGCGGAGUUGGUGGGUCUGCUGGUAUGGGUUCUUUUGCUUCUUUCUUGGGCCCGGGCAAAUGGGCCUGCAACAGCUGCCCCUCUUUGCUCGUUGUCGUGUAACGAUAACAGAGUAAAGACUAAGAAAGGCCCAUUUUGCCCGGUCUUGCCGAGUCUUGACCUGUUCUGGUACUUCUCCAUUUCAAGUAGUUUCAUUCCAGUCCACUAGGUCUUGUUGCUUCGAUCCAUUCCACUGCAUUUUAGAGAGAUGCGUCCUGUAGCCUUUAUCUUCUUCGUAGCAACUUCAGGGGGACGAGGUUUGUGGUUUUCAAUCUAUUCCACUGCAUCUUCAGGGAAAUAAGACUUGAUGCGACCUACUCUGCUGUAACCUCAGAGAGAUAAGAUCCUUUAUUUUAACCCACUCCACUGUAACUUCAGGGAGAUAGGAUAGUGUCUUCGAUCUGCUCCGCUGUAAUCUCGGGGAGAUAAGAUCUCUGGCUUCAAUCUGCUCCACUGUAACUUCAGGGGGAUAAGAUCUGCAAUUCUUCGGUCUACUCCACUGUAACCUCAGAGAGAUAAGACCUGAUGCGAUCUACUCUACUGUAACUUCAGAGAGAUAAGAUCCUUUAUUUUAAUCCGCUCCACUGUAACUUCAGGGAGAUAGGAUUAUAUCUUCGAUCUGCUCCGCUGUAACCUCAGGGAGACAAGAUCUGUAAUUCUUCGGUCUGUUCCACUGUAAUCUCAGGGAGAUAAGAUCCUUUAUUUUAAUCCGCUCCACUGUAACUUCAGGGAGAUAGGAUUAUAUCUUCGAUCUGCUCCGCUGUAACCUCAGGGAGACAAGAUCUGCAAUUCUUCGGUCUGUUCCACUGUAAUCUCAGGGAGAUAAGACCUGAUGUGAUCUUCUCUACUGUAACUUCAGAGAGAUAAGAUCCUUUAAUCCGCUCUAUUGUAAUCUCAAGGAGAUAGGAUUACUAUCUUUGAUCUGCUCCGCUGUAAUCUCAGGGAGAUAAGAUCUCUGGCUUCAAUCUGCUCCAAUGCAACCGAUGGAGGCAAGGCUUUGUCUUUGAUCUGCUUCGCUGUUAAUGCAGGAAGGCAAGAUCUACUUCUUUAACUAGCUCCACUGCGAUCGAUGGAUGCAAGGCUUUGUUUUCGAUCUGCUUCGCUGUUAAUGUAGGAAGGCAAGAUCUUUUGUCUUCAACCAGCUCUAUCACAACCGAAAGAGGCAAGGUUUGUGUCUUCGAUCUGCUUCGCUGCUAAUGCAGGAAGGCAAGAUCCUUUGUCUUCAUUGAUCUGUCCCUUGGGGAACAUGACCUGUAUGUUCUAUUUUAUGAACCUAAUUGUGCCUAGUGAUUCAGAUGACAUAAUCAGAAUGAAUCCAAUUCUCCUAACUAGAUAUGUAUGAAUGACAUUUGAGUGAAUGCAAAAUGUCAUGAAGAUGAUUCCUUAAUGCUUAGGUUAACAUCACGUAAAAACUUAUUAAGGUUUUAUCACUGACGUACUACAACGCCUUUUUGCUCGUCUGGUAUAUCCAAAGAAACACUUAAUCUGGUUGCCCCCCCACUGUAAACCUUAAAGUUUAAUCUAUUAGGGCACAAAAUUUGUACCAUCAUUCUCCCACUAUAAUCCAAGGGUAGAAAGAUAUGGCUUUUUCAAUCUUCUCCUAUCGCAAUUCAAGGAUACAGAAUGUGAAGCUCUUUGGUCCUUUACCUCAUUCCCAAGGUGUCAUACCAAAUGCUCAUGCACAAUUGCAAAAUUUUCCUCUCCGAGAAAACCUUUUCUUAUCAUUUGGUGAUCAUUGCUUGUUUGUUCAUUGAAGCUUUGUCACCAACACGACAUCUCGUCAUUUUGUUCAAUCAAUGUUUGGACAACAAAAUCCAAAAAUAUAGUCUUUAACUUAGACUCUUCCUUCUUAGAUACUUCACCCUUUAAACUUGGUGUUUUCUAAACAAUAGUCCUGUUUCAGGUUUCUAUAUUAUUUAGAACUUUUCAGAGUAAUAUGCAAAACUUCUUUCCUGAAAGUUUUAUUAGUUCGUUAAUCAAUAUUCCUAUGCAACAUGUUUGCAAAAAGAUCAUAACAAUGGAUAAGAAUAAAGCUAGCUCUGAUCAUAACUCAAAUAAAACAUCAAAGAUGGCGAAAGAAAGGUAACAAAGAAGUGGAUUGAGAAUGCGCGUUUUCACAAAAGGCAAGGAAGAAAGAAAGAAAAUGUAUUUUCAAGAAUACACAUAUGAACUAGGUGCCCCAGCUAUCGCUGCUUGAGUUUCUCUGUACAAACUUUCCGAAGACCCUUCUGAGUUUGACAUGUGUUCAGGAAAUCUGCAAUACUCUGUCAAUGUUCCGAGACGUUGCAUAUCCUUCCUUAUUGGUAAAGCAAGAUCAUCAUAUGCCCCUGAUCAAAAUUUGAUCCGCUCAAGUCCUGAUGUUCCAAUCCUGCCCAAUACUCGAGUCGCCCUUUUCGGGUUUUCGACUCAAGCCCUCUUUGGUCUCAAAGUGCCCUUUACGGGUUUUCACCUUAGCCUCUCCAAAGUUUUUUUUUUUUUUUUUUUUUUUUUUUUUUUUUAGGAAGCAAAGCGCCCUUUACGGGUUUUCACUUUGGUUCCCCUUUCUUUCAAGUGAAGUAUUUCUUAACAGAGUCUGCGUUUACAGGAUUUGGUAAACUUUUGCCAUCCAUCUCGCAUAGGAUCAAAGCUCCACCGGAAAAGGCCUUCUUUACAACAUAAGGGCCUUCCCAAUUUGGCAUCCAUUUUCCUCUAAAAUCUUUUUGCAUAGGAAGAAUCUUUUUUAGUACCAAGUCCCCUUCACGAAAUUCUCGGGGGCGAACCUUUUUAUUAUAAGCUCGCAUCAUUCGUUUCUGGUACAUUUGCCCAUGGUGAAUAGCUCUUAGCCUCUUUUCUUCUAUUAGGUUCAACUGAUCGUACCGAGAUUGGAUCCAAUCGGCUUCAUCCAACUGUAGCUCAGAUAACACCCGUAGAGAAGGGAUUUCAACUUCAAUGGGUAAUACUGCCUCCAUUCCAUAAACCAGAGAAAAAGGCGUUGCCCCAGUAGAAGUUCUAACAGAUGUUCGAUAGGCGAGGAGAGCAAAUGAUAAUUUCUCAUGCCAAUCCUUGUAGGUUUCAGUCAUUUUCCCCACAAUCCUUUUAAUGUUUUUAUUGGCCGCCUCCACUGCACCAUUCAUUUUGGGACGAUACGGCGAUGAGUUAUGAUGCUUAAUUUUAAAUUUGCUACAAACUUCAGCUAUUGUGCUAUUAUUCAAGUUCAUCGCGUUGUCGGAUAUGAUCCUCUCAGGCAUCCCAUAUCGACAAAUGAUCUCCUUCUUCAAGAAUUUGCUGACUACUGCUUUUGUGACAUUUGCAUAUGAAGCAGCCUCCACCCACUUGGUAAAGUAAUCAAUUACUACGAAGAUGAAGCGAUGCCCAUUAGAAGCCUUUGGUGAUAUUGGCCCAAUAACAUCCAUACCCCACAUGGAAAACGGCCAAGGAGAGGUCAUGACGUGAAGAGGUGAAGGAGGCGCGUGUAUUUUGUCUCCGUAAAUUUGGCAUUUGUGGCACCUCCUGGCAUGAUCAAUGCAAUCUCCUUCCAUGGUGGGCCAAUAGUACCCAAAUCUCAUGAUCUGUUUGGCCAUCGUGAAACCACUGGCGUGCGUCCCACAAAUACCCUUAUGGACUUCUUCCAAAAUUUUCUUGGCUUCUACCGCAUCUACACAUCUUAACAGUACUUGAUCCUUCCUUCUUUUGUAUAACACUUCUCCAUCUAAGACAUAUUCAAUGGCUAUCUUUCUCAGAGUUCUUUUGUCAUUCUCUGUCGCUUGAUCAGGGUAUUCCCGAUUCUUCACAUAUUGUAAGAUACUCCGAUACCAAGGACAAUCAUCUUUUCCCUCCUCCUCAAUAUUGCAACAAUUAGCCGGGGUCUCAGAGAUACUCAUCUGAACAGGCCUCAUUGCCUCAAGUCUAUUCACCUGAAUCAUCGAAGCUAGAGUAGCUAAUGCAUCAGCCAUUUGGUUUUCCUCCCGUGGGAGGUAAUAGAAGGUGAUAUCGUCAAACUCCUCAGCCAAUUCAAGAACUAGUUUCCUAUAACCAAUUAGCUUAGGAUCUCUAGUCUCCCACUCCCCUUUGAGUUGGUAUAUCACCAACGCUGAAUCCCCGUAUACUCUCAGUACUUUGAUGUUCCGUUCAAUGGCUGCACGAAUGCCCAUAAUACAUGCUUCAUAUUCUGCCAUAUUAUUUGUACAAUCGAAGUCCAACUUACUGGCAACAGGAUAAUGAUCUCCACUCGGGGAUACCAAAACUGCCCCAACUCCAUUACCCGUAGCAUUCGAAGCUCCAUCAAAAUUUAACUUCCAUACGUGAUCCAUUUGAGGAUUUUCUUCAGUAUUCGCCACAUACAUCAAGUCCUCGUUUGGAAAAUCGAAAUUCAAAGAUUCAUAGUCCUCCAAGGCUCUACUAGCUAGGAAAUCGGCUAUUGCACUUCCCUUUAUGGCCUUCUGACUGACAUAUACUAUAUCAAAUUCUGAGAGCAAGAUCUGCCAUCUAGCCAUUCUCCCGUUCAAAGCGGUCGAUUCCAUCAUAUAUUUUAAAGGAUCUAACUUUGAAAUCAGCCAAGUCGUGUGAUACAACAUAUACUGCCUCAGUCUUCGGGUUGCCCAGAUUAGAGCACAACACAACUUCUCAAUUGAUGAGUACCUCAUUUCGCAAUCGGUAAAUUUCUUACUGAGAUAGUAUAUUGCCCUUUCUUUCUUUCCCGUCUCAUCAUGUUGGCCCAAUACGCAUCCCAUGGAAUUCUCCAACACUGUUAGAUACAAUAUCAAUGGCCUAUCUGGACUUGGAGGUGAUAAGACUGGAGUAUUAGCCAAGUACUGCUUUAUCUUAUCGAAAGCCCUCUGACACUCUUCAUCCCAAUUGCCCGGAUUAUGUUUCUUUAAGAGCCGGAAUACUGGAUCACAUUUCUCUGUCAGUUGUGAGAUGAACCGAGCGAUGUAAUUCAGCCUCCCUAGGAAACCUCGAACCUCCCUCUGAGUGCGCGGGGGAGGUAAAUCUCGUAUUGCCUUUACUUUGUCUGGGUCAACCUCGAUCCCCUUUUUGCUAACUAUGAAGCCUAAUAACUUCCCUGAUCUGGCCCCGAACGUGCAUUUGGCCGGGUUAAGCUUGAGCUGAAAUUUCUUUAAUCUCAAAAAUAACCUUUUCAAAACCUGAACAUGCUCUUCUUCCGUUCUAGACUUCGCGAUCAUAUCGUCAACAUAGACUUCGAUCUCCUUGUGCAUCAUGUCGUGAAACAAAGUCACCAUAGCUCUUUGAUACGUUGCUCCCGCAUUCUUCAAUCCGAAGGGCAUUACCUUGUAACAAAAUGUUCCCCAUAAGGUAAUGAAUGUGGUUUUCCUCAUGUCUCCGGGAUGCAUCUUUAUUUGAUUGUAUCCAGAGAAACCGUCCAUGAAAGAAAACAAUGAAUAGCCCGCCGUGUUAUCUACCAAAGUAUCAAUGUGAGGCAGUGGAAAGUUGUCCUUUGGACUAGCCUUGUUUAAAUCCCUAUAAUCCACACACAUUCGUACCUUUCCAUCUUUUUUGGGAACAGGGACGAUGUUGGCUACCCAAUCCGAAUACUUGACCUCUUGUAAGAAACCAGCGUCGAAUUGUCUUUUGACUUCUUCUCUUAUUUUUAACACAAUGUCAGGUCUCAUUCUCCUAAGCUUCUGUUGAACGGGUUUACAAUCCUCCUUUAUGGGUAGACGAUGUACCACAAUGUUAGUAUUUAGCCCAGGCAUAUCUUGGUACGACCACGCGAAAACAUCCUUGAACUCUCGGAGCAAAUUGAUGAGGUCUUGCCUUGUCUUUGCGGUAAUUUCAGUUCCAAUUUUCACCUCCUUUCCAUCCUCUAGGCUCACUAUUUCUAACGAUUCCUUAUGAGGUAGGAUAUGCUUAUCCUCUUGUUCCAUCAUUCUUAACAAGUCCGGAGAUGCAUCAUAAUCUUCGUCAUUUUCAAAGUCGUGGAAUCUCUCUGAACACACUUCUUGCUCAAAAAUAGGCUCCGCGUUUGAGACAGCAUCACUCAUGUCAUUGAUAUCUGAAGACCUAUGUGGGCAGAUCAAAUAAUAUACCAAGAAUAUAAAUUUAUGAAUAUGUUUGUGCAAAAGAAUCACAAAUGAAAGAAUUGUUUGUAAGACAAUCAACCAAAUAAAAAAUAUGAAAGGAAAAAAAAGUGACUGAUCGAGAUGAACGUAGACACGUAUUUUAUUAAAAUAAUGAUAUUUAGGCCCAAUGCCUAUUUCACAAAAAAUUUCGUAUCGUUUCUAGGCCAACAAACAACAGGAAUGUUUUGAGCAUUACUCUGAAUAAGCCCUAAAGACUACAGGGAUUUCUUCAGCAGUCCAAUUGUUUAGCUCGCUUCCAGGCUCAUAAGGGCGGAUCUCCAACAAAGCCCUCCUUUCCGUUGCUUCUAUGGUGUUAAUAUAAACGUUUUCCAACAUUCCUCCCAUGCCGCUACCGGACACCCCACAUUCAGAAUGAAUAAAUCCUCCCGACACAAAAGAUGAAGAUAUGUGGGGAAAGGUUAAAGGCUCACACUUAGCUUCAUGUCCAUUCAAACGCGCCCUUCUUCUCGCUUGUCUCUUCUCUACUUCUUUCUUCUUCUGCUUCAUGUCUGGCUUGUACCCUAAACCAAAUCUAUCAAACUUUUCCCUCGGCAUUGGUGCCUCAAUCCUCCCCUGAAGAUAUUUUCCCAAUCCUUUCCCGGGUAAGGCUCCUCUUCCUACCAUCAAUCGCAAUCCCAUCUCAGUGGUCCUGGACACUUUCGGUACUGGAAUCCUAUUUCCCUCCGCAAUAAACAUCGCGUUCACAAAUUCUAACGACCGAAAAGAACAUUCCAGUGCCUCAUCGUUGAUGUCCACAUAAGGUGCCUCGCUAGUCAUCAUUGCGAUAAUAUCCUCCUCUGCAUCUAUUGUUACCAACCGAUCCUCCGAUACCAACUUCACCUUCUGAUGUAAUGAUGAAGGUACCGCUCCUGCUGAGUGUAUCCACGGUCUCCCCAAUAGACAGUUGUAGGAGGGUUUAAUAUCCAUUACCAAGAAAUCCACCUCAUAAGUGACUGGGCCAAUCCUUAAUGGUACUUCAAUUCUCCCCAUAACCUCCUUUUUUGUUCCAUCAAAUGCCCUUACUAUGCUCUGGCAUGCUUUCAUGUGCGAACUGUCUAUUGGUAAUCGACUAAGAGUGGACAAAGGCAAUACAUUUAGUGCAGAUCCAUUAUCGACCAAGGCCCCCGGGAGUGUGUACCCUUUGCAUCGGACAGUAACGUGGAGGGCUUUAGUAGAACCUCUUCCUCCGGAUGGUAUUUCAUCAUCAUUGAAGAAGAUAAAAUUGUCAGCACCAAUAUUGUUGAUCAACCGAUCCAACUUGUUUACUGAAAUAUCGUCAGCCACAUAUGUUUCGUUUAGCACCUUUAAGAGUGCAUUCCGAUGUACUUCUGAGUUUAAGAGUAAAGCUAAUACCGAAAUGCGGGCUGGCUGUUUGUGCAGUUGCUCCACAACACUGUAUUCGCUGUGUUUCAAAAACUUCAAAAACUCCUUCGCCUCUUCUUCUUUUAUUGGUUCAUUUACCAAUGGUUCAACUUCUACUGCCUUCCCUUUCCUCUGUUCUUUCUUCCAAUUCUCUUCCCUGGACGACUCUGCUUGAGCGUCAUAUCUUUUUCCCUUGCGCGUGUAAAAAACUGUUUCCUGAUUUCUUUCUGCUUCUUUUCCCAAAAUGGUCACAUUACACCCGUAAUUCCACGGCACCAUUUUGUUAUCUUUAUAAGAGAAAUUUGAUGGUUUCUGGAUUACAAUUUUCGGCGUUACCUGAGCCCUAACCUCAUUACCCUUAGGGCGGGAGAUAAUGACCACAGGAUGAUUUAUUUUUGGAGCCUUUGUUCCCAACUCUGUCGCGCAUAUGCUCCUCAUUUCUUUCACAUCUUCAUAAAACCUCAUCACCUUGUUAUCCAUCAUGCUUUGAACCAAGGCCUUGAAUCCUUCACAUUCUUGGAUUUCAUGCCCUGUUUCAUGGUGAAAUUCACAAUAAUUUCCCAUCUCAUGCCCUUUCUCAGAAUCUGAAAUAACCAAACCUCUUUUCGCCAUUUCUUUCCAGACCCAUUUCAAUGGAGUUUUUACUUCAGCAAUGUCAGUCUUGACUUCUUCUCCCGUACCUUCGCUAACCAUAUUCACCCCCUUAUCUGCGUGAUUAGGUAACGGAUUCUUUGCGUUAGGUGAGUCGUCAAGUUUGACAACACCUAAAUUGAUAAGUCCUUCUACUACCUUCUUGAAGGCAGUACAAUUUUCUAUCGAGUGCCCAGAAAUUCCCGCAUGAUAAUCACAUUGCGCGUUCGUAUCAUACCAUUUUGGAUACGGGGGUUGUAGAGGACUCAAGUAACGAGGAGCAACAACAUGUGCAUCGAAUAAAGUCUGAUACAACUCCUUGUAUGACAUCGGGAUUGGCGUGAAUUGGGGCUUUUCAGUAGUUUGCCUAGCUCCUGACUCUUGUCUUGAUGAUCCCUGUUGAUUAGCAACCACCUUCUUUGGUUGAUUCACGGUAAUUGACCUACCAUAAGCAUUCACAUUAUUCACUUCAUUUUCUCUUUUCCUCGGGGGUGCCCUCCUAUUAUUUUCUCCUCCAUCUAUUUUUCCACUUUUAAUGGCAUGCUCAAUCAUUUCACCAUUCAUGAUUAUAUCUGAGAAAUUUCUUGAAGCGCUUCCCAACAUGUGAGUGAUGAACGGGGCUUUCAAAGUAUUAAUAAAAAGCGUCGUCAUCUCUUUUUCCAAAAGCGGUGGUUGCACCUGAACCGCCACCUCUCGCCACCUCUGCGCAUAUUGUCUGAAGCUUUCGUUCGAUUUCUUCUCUAAAUUUUGCAGAGUUAUCCUGUCAGGCAUCAUUUCUGAGACAUGAUUGUAUUGUCUCAAGAAAGCCUGUGCUAAAUCCCUCCAAGUAGCAAUUUUAGCUCGGCUCAGCUGAUUGUACCACUUUGACGCCGCUCCCGUAAGACUUUCCUGAAAGCAAUGUAUUAAUAAUUGAUCAUUAUUAAUAUGCCCCGUCAUUCUUCUACAAAACAUAGUAAUAUGGGAUCCUGGGCAACUAGUCCCGUUGUAUUUCUCGAAUUCCGGCAUCUUAAAUUUGUAAGGGAGCACCAAGUCCGGAACCAAGCUCAGAUCCUUUGCAUCUGUUCCAUAGCUUUCGAUGCUUUCUAUUGCCCUAAACUUCUCUUCUAUCCAUUUCCAUUUCUCCUCAAAUUGUUUUGGAAAUUCCUCCUUCGCCUUGUCCUUUUCAACCAUCUCGUCAAGAUCUGGGACCGCAAUAUUAUUCGGGCCAUCACCGGGAUUAAAGCCCGCUCCGGGUUGAAAAUUCAUUGGGAUUGAAGCAUCGCCUUGGAACUGCUGGGGUCUAACCGACACGGAGGGUCUCCGCGAAUGCAGCUCAGUCUGUACUUGCGCAUGCGGAGGCGUGAAACCUGGAGGAUAAAGUGGUUCACCAUUGUUUUCUUCUUCACUAACAAUCACAGGCCCUUUACCCUUAUCUACUCCCUUCAAUAAUUGCGUCAUCUUAGCCACCAGAUCAUUUUGGGACUCCUCCAUCUUUUGUACCAUGUCACGCUGAAUCUUUUCUAUUUGCUCUUUCAUUUACGCCUGCAACUGGUCUUGCAUUUCUUUUUGAAGUCGCUCUAGCUUCUCCAACCUUUGGUCCAUAAUUUUUGUCUUUGCUCGGGUGCCGUAACUUUGUUGGUUUUCCAGGUUAACUGAAAUGAUUUUAUUCGAUUAGGUUUUUUUUAAUGGUCAUUAAUGCAUAUGAUGUGAUGCAAUGCAUGAAAGAGAAUGCAAAGAAAAAGAGGCACUGAUUUUAAUUCAACUUCAUUAGAAAACUUUACUAGAUAAAGAGUUUCUUUACAUAAAAUAGACUACAUAUAUGGCUUUGCCCUCACACUCAAAGCCUUAACCUUUCUAAGAAGCCAAGCUAAUUCUCGGCCCCUGUCCGACUCUGACUCAUACUUCAAACUUAAUAGAUCAGCCUGAACCGCUAGAGUUUGCAGAUGAUCAGCCACUUCGCGCACCUGAGUCACCGCCUCUCCCAUAAUAUAAUCUCUUUCUCCAAUCUGCUCUUGAGACCGACGGAAUUGUCCUUGCCACUGCUCAUUACUUUCUUCUAGAAGCUCUAUCCGGAUUUCACUAUUUUGCAAUGCAUUCUCUAGCCCCCCUAUCUGUGUUUUUAAAUCUUUAAUUUUGUCUAAGCUCGCCCUUAAUUCAACCGUAGUAUUACGAUUACAGUACUGGCGAAGCGAUCUUUCCAGUUCUGUUAUCCGGACCUUCAACUCUGUCUUCUCGUCUUGGCAAACUAGUAGACUCUUUCCCAAGGCGGCUUCUCGAGCCCGAGCAUCCUGAAAUUUCUUUUCCCAUUGAUUAGCUUUCGUCUUUUCCUCCUGAAUUUCUUGUCGCCAUUGUUCUGGUGUUUUACCCAAGCCAGCGGCUCUUACUGACUUACGCAACUUCUUGUAAUCUGUCUUCAGGCUGUCCAAAUCUUCUUCUGCCUUGUUCUUUCCUUUCCUCAAUUUGUUGGCCUCUAAUCUUUGAAUGUCCACAUCCAGUCCUAACUGCAUUUUUUCUUCCUCAAGUUGUUCUAUCUUCUUCCCCAAUUCUAAACUUCUUUUUUCGAAUUCUUGUUUGAUGAUUUCUAUCUCAGAAGGCAAGACUUGUAAGUGUUCCUCUAAAGAUCGAGCCGUUUCUGAAUUUGACGCCGGGAUGUUGUCGUUGAUCCUUUGAUUACGCCACUGACCAUACUCGGGGGUAAUUGUCGGACCCACAGCUAAGAUCUUCAUUCGACGAGUCUGGUUCCAGGCACUAGAUAUUUCUCGAACCUUUUUCUUGUAAUUGUCCUCCCUAUAGGAAAAAUCACUAUAAGCCAACCCCUGGGUUACUGGUAUGAAUUGUCGUGAUCUAUACUGUCUUGACACGAGUAGAGGAGCAUAUCCAAUAGCUCCCCAUAUCCCGAGCAGCGGAACCCAGUCAAAAUCUCCACAUCGGUACAAUAUCUCAUCAGGAAUUAACCAAGGAGCCCUCCAUUCAAUAUCUUCAUCUUGGAGAUUCUGGAGUAUCUCUAUCCAUUUUUCUUCUGAAAUAUCAUCCCGUCUUGGCGUGGCCACCAAUUCUCCUAGAGGGGAGUAGCUAUCGGAGAAUACCCGGUAAGAGACCUUUUCGACUUUCCAGAAGUGGCUAUGGAACCAUGCCAAUAAGAGCUGCGCGCAUCCAAUAAACCUUCCCUCCCCUGCUUUUCGACACGCAUUCAAAGAUCUAAAAGUUUCAGCGAGUAUUGCCGGAACCGGUGUAACCCCUUUACCAAGCCGAUCGAACAAAUCAGAUACAGCCUCGUCUAUGUGUCCUAAAGCUUUGGGGAAAACCACUAGUCCAUAGAUACCUAAAGCGAAGACAUCGACCCUUUUCUUUAAGUCAGGAUGUACAAGCACCAAAUCUCGUAAACUUUUCCAAGGAACACAUUUACUGUCGCCCUUCUGUUGGAUCCGGGCAGCGACCCACUGCUCGCUCAUUCCAGUGAUGUUCAUUAAUUUCUUUAACAACGGAGGGACACAAGCAGCUCUGGAAUAAGCCUUGUCGACUUGAAUCUUUGGGCACCGAAGUAAGGUCGUAUACUCCUCUACCGUAGGCGUCAAAUCUACCUUCCCAAAAGUGAAACAACUGUAGGCAGGAUUCCAAAACUGAGCAAGGGCUCGGAAUAAAUACUUGUCCACUUUGACACUGAGCAGAUAAGGUAGGUCACCAUAGUUACAAUAGAACAGCUCCUUGGCCUCGACAUCCCAUUGAUCCCAGACUUCUUUCAUUUCUCGAAGGUCAUUCUGGAUUACACUGAUACGGGUAAAAUCCCACAAUUCUGACACGUACCCUUCGGUAAGACUAUCGCCUUUCUCCCGUUGCGUCGUUUCAGCCCAUAUUCGCACAGCCGCAUUAUCCUCUACUUUAUCAACAAACCCCUUUUCCAUGAUAAGCUUUCUACUAAGAAACUGAACGUAAAUCGACACCUCUUUUAGGAUGAAGAUGCCAUGCAAUCACAAGCAAAGUAAAUUAGCAUUAAACACAGCAUAAGAUUUAAAAUAAACGACAAAUAAAUACAACAUUCAUUUAGGUAGGCACUAAAAUUUUAGAGUAGCUCUACCUAAGUCGGUUCCUAUGGCUCAUUACAUGUGGUUUGGUUCUAAAGUAGGGUACCUGAACCAGCAAAUUCCUCGAUCCUCACCCAUUAUAGGCUCAUACGGACCAAGUUCGAUUCAGGGGGAUACAUUUCCCUAUGGCCAUGCGGAGAUGAAAAUCUCACGAAGACAUAGGUACGGAUAUAUCCCGAAAGCGAUUCACUAUCCCAUGCGGAGGUGAAAACCUCACGAAGGCGUAGCUCCUCACUCCCACUUAAAAAGGUGUGACCAACGGUCAUGCAAUGCAAUGCGCAGAGGUAUAAGAUAAAAUACAGAACACGACCAAAAUAUAACUCAAAACAAAAGAGAUGCAGUGAGAGGAUCGUAAAUUUCAAUCGAAUUUUCAACUUUCGACAAAAAGACAAGAAAUAAUCAACACGUGGCUUGACUCUCUUAUGGUGUCCCCAGCGGAGUCGCCAAGCUGUUGACACCAUUUUUUUGAUGAAAACGGGGUCGACUUGGAUUUUGAAAAUGAAAACGGGAGUCGCCACCAAUCUUUUAUUAAGGUGUGAUUGGAUCACCUCGAAAAGCGGUCGUUUUUUAAUAAACGGUUUGAUUUUAUUAAAACAACAAGUUUGGUCCGCGAAAUUCAGAAAACGGGUUCGGGAGUCGGUUACGCACGAGGAAGGAUUAGCACCCUCGAUACGCCCAAAAUUGGUACCUUAGUUGAUUACUUAAUGUCUUAAUGUCAAAAAUUGAAAACUUAGAAGAAUUAAAAAAAAUACGAUCCUUGUAUUAAAACGUUGAAAAUUUUCAGGAAAAUGGGCAUAUUUCACAUUAUUCGAGAAAGAGAAUCAUAUCCAGUAAGUUAGAAUACAAUGUCUCAAAUUCCCAAUACGUAAAUGAAUGCCAGAAUUUUACUUAUUUAAAAGAUAUUUUAUUAUCUCGGGUUUAGGAAAGGGAUCAUGCCCAGUAAGUUAGGACACGAUCUUUUCUUAAUUCCCGAGAUCGUUUCAAAACUUGAGUUUGAAAAGAUCAGUGUGUUUAGAUUUAUUGUGGAAAUCGAAACCCAGUAAGUUAGGGUACGAUCCUCUCGAAUCUAAACAAAAAAUAUCACUUUUUUUAAACAAAUUUUAUUAUCGAGUAAAAUAAAAACAUGAAGUCGUAGUAAAAAAUGUGAAAGCAAAUUACAUUGUUAUACAUGACAAAAUCAUAAUGAAUACAAAAGUGUAAAAAUGAUACGAGCGAUAGCAACAAUAUAAAAUAAAUAAAAGUCAAACCCACAAUCAUAUAAAAUAACAAUAUAUAUAAACAAAUAAAUUAAACAUUCGUUCAAAAUAAUAAUGAAAAUGAAAUAAAUAAAUAAUGAAUACAAUCAAAAUUCAAAGGGAUAUAUAUAUUUAUGUGUAUAGACAAAAGAAAAUAUAAUAUGUGUGUAUUCAUAAAUUACAAUGUAUAUAUGUAAAGUAUACUUUAAAAUAUAAAAAAUAUGCAUAUAGAUAAAAAUAUGUACACAUAUAUAUAGAUGUAUAAAAUUAUGGAAUAUGAAAAUAAUGAAAUGCAUAUAUAAAGUAGGCGCAUGAAAAUAUGUAUGUACAAAUUAGAAUUUAAAAAUAAUGAAAAUAUACCGACGUAUACAAAUAAGUACGUUAAUUUAUAUAUAUAUAUGUUUAAAAUAUAUUGAAAAUAUGUAUGUAUAUGUCUAUGCAAAUUAAGAUAUACAAAAACAUAUAAAUAUAUACAUAAAUAUAUAUAUACUUAUAAAAAUAAAAAUAUGUAUGUGUAUAGAUAUAUAUAAAAAGAAAUAUGAGUAUACGUAUAUAUAUUAAACAAAUUAUAUGUAAAAUAUGUACAUGUACAUAUACAAGCACUUAUAUGAUAAUAAAAAAAUAUAUAUAUUUGAAAAUACAUAAGUAUAUAUGAAUAGAGAUGUAAAAGUAACAACAAUAAUACCAAUACUAAUAAUAGUAAAGAUGAUAAUAAUAAUAAUAAUAAUAAUAAUAAUGAAGUUAACAAAAAUUGACUAAAUAAUAAAAUAUGCUAAAAAGGGGCCUUAAAUCGAAAUGAAAUAGAACAUAUAGGGCCAAUUCGAAAUAAAGGAAAACGAAAGGGAUCCAAUUGCGACGCGCGUAAAAAAGGGAAGGACCGAAACAGAAAAUAAACCCAAAAUCCCAAAACGCAGCACCUCAAUGGACUAAAAUAAAACAAAAAUAAAAUGUUAGGGCUAAAUCAAAAUAAAAUAAAACAACAAAAUAGGACCAAAUUGAAACACGCCGCGAAUCAGAGGGACUGCGCGCAUAAAUAGCCCAAAAAUUAAAAACACGCGGAUCCUUCGGGUCGGGUCGGGUCGACGCGCGGAUCCCCUUUGCUAAAACGGCGUCGUUUCAUUUUGAAUAUAAAUAAUAGAAAAAAACAAAAAAAACAAAUCAGAUUCAUUUUUUAGAAAAAAAAGCUGAGAGGGAGAGUCUCUCUCUCAUUCUUUCAGGCCCGGCGUUGGUCAUCGGCCGAACUAGGCCUCCGGCGAUUCUCCGCCCUAGCGCCGCCGCGUAUGGUGGCCGGAGUAUCCCAAAAAUCGGAUUUUUUCAUCCUUUUCGAAGUUAAGUGCGUCUUAAGCACGAAUCGAAGGGUUAAAUCCGAAAAAGGAGGUCCGAAACUUGAAGAACGAGGAGAGACCACUCGCCCUUCCCCUUUCGACGUAGCACAGGUAACCCCUAUUCCUAUUUUGUUUUGUUAAAAGAGUUGUAGAAAAUAAAAAAAAUAAUAGAAGACAGGAAAUAAAACGCAAGAAUCUGAGAAAAAAAUCUGAAAUCCACCUUUUCUUUCGCUUUUUUAUCUUCUUAUUAUUCACUGAUUGUUGUUAAUUCCUUGUUUGAUACCCAAAAUCCCCCAAGCCCCCUUUUACAUAUUAAAUCUGGCUUUUUAUAGCCGAAAGAAAGAAAAAAAAUUUGUCUUCGUUUCUGCUUGCGUGUUUGUUUCUCUUUGCAGGUGGAGCGGGUGGAGCAGGUGAGCAGCGAUGGGACGUGCGGCGGCCAGCAAGUGAACGGCGGAGUUGGUGGGUCUGCUGGUAUGGGUUCUUUUGCUUCUUUCUUGGGCCCGGGCAAAUGGGCCUGCAACAGUUACCAAAAUAUAAAUUUUAGAAUUUUUAUAAAUAUUUAGGUUUUUAAAAAUUAUUUUAAUUUUUUUUUGGAAAUUAUUAAACUUUUUUUGUUGGAAGACCAAUUUGAUCAUUUUCAAAAUUGAGCACGGAUCAAAGAGAUCUUAACUCUUAUUUGUUAUUUGAGUUAUUCAAAUUAUAAAGUUCAACUCGACUAGAACUUGAAACUUAAAUUAAUUAUUCGAGUUGACUCGAAAAAAUUAAAUAAUUUGAAUAACUCGAUUAAAUUAACUCAAAAUAAUAAUAAUAAAACAAUUUUUCAAAUUAAAUUAAAUUUUACUCACCUUUAAACUUCUCCGAUCUGCGGUAUAAUAUCUCUAAGCUUAAGCACCUUCUUCCAAGCCCAACUAUGUCAUUGCUUAACUUGUACCUGCCAAACAGAAUCUCCUUUCACAAUAUACUGCUCAACCCAUGCAACCUACAAGGAUUUUGACUUCACCUAAAUUAGCCUAAGACACCUCAUCAUGCAGGCUUUAUCCCAACUAGCCAAAUCCUUAACUCCAAGUCCUCCUUCUGCCUUAGGAUGACAAAAAUUCUGCCAACUGACCGAGAAUGACUUCCGCAAGGAUUUUGCCUCACCAAAAAUUAUAUCAUUCCCCUUUCAAAGAAAAGAAUUACAGAAUUGUGUAACUUUCUUAAUGACUUAAAAAAGGAAGAAUGAAGAGUCUACACCAAAAAUUUUGCAGACCGAAAACCACUUAUUGGAGAAGCUGAAGUCUAACAUCUUCGAAUAUGCUUAGUAAUCUUAUCCACCAAAACAUCACAAUCAUAAUUCUUCAAACUCCUUGAUGAGUCACUAAACUAACUAAAAUUACGACAAAGGCAAACGCACUUAUCGAAUAAUAAUAUAGCUAUGGUGAAUUGAGAAUAUCGUAUCCAUGAGAACUAAAAGUACUAGUACUUACUAUUUUUCUAUUAUGUAACUGAUAAAUUGAAGAAAUUGUUUUUAAUCUAAAAUUAACUAAACUAAUUAUUAAGAACACAACAAAAAAUGAAUCAAGAAAAUAAUCGAAUAAAACCAAUGAGAUAGACAAUACCCAGGAAAAAAUCCACCUAGACUUCACUUAUUAUUCUGAAUCUGAAUUAAAUGAUUUAUUCACUUGUAACUUGAUCCGUAGAAAUCUCUAAAUUAUGUUAAUAUCUCUUUCAAGAGUAAAAACAAUUGACUAUAGGUUGAUUAAUUAAAAUUUCUUUCUAAUUAAAACCCCUAUUGUCGCAUUAACUCAAUUUAUGGAUUGCCCUAUUAGAUUUGACUCUAAUAUAGUAGAUUUAUGUCGUCCUAUUUUUAGGAUUGCAUGCAACUCCACUCAAUUAUGCUAGAUUUACUUUGAAACAGGGGCUUUUGCUCCAUUGAAAUAUGCACAUUAAGCAUAAUUAAAAUCCUGAAAAUAUUAAAACACGAAUUAAGUAUACAUAAUUGAGAACAAGAAUCAAAUAUUUAUCAUGUAAUUUAGAAAUUAAAUAAUAAGAUUCAUAUAGGUUUCAUCUUCCCUAGGUAUAUAGGGAAUUUAGUUCAUAAUUUGGAAUAACAUCAUCUCAAAGUUAGGAAAACAAUAAGACAUAAAGAAACCCAAUAAAAUUUUUGAAGAAAUUGAAUGGAGAUCCGCUUCUGAAAUGAAUCUAAUGGCGUUCUUCGAGUCUUUUCUUCAUUCUCCUCUACAUGUUCCCCUAGGUCUUCUUCUAAUAUGUAUUUAUAAACUUUAGAAUGCUCGGAAACCCUAAAAAUUGAGUUUUUCCGCGUAACAGGGAAGUAGGGUGCGAAAUCGACACGGGCUAGCACAUGAGCGUGUGGUCAGCCCGUAUGGCUCACAGGGGCGUGUGGCCAACCCGUGUGGAAAUGCUCAGGCCGUGUGGAUCCUGAAAACAACUUUUUUUGCCUGAUUUGGGCUCUUUUUUUGCUCCUUUCGCUCCCUUAUGCUCACCUAAGUAUAGAAACAUGAAUUUAAAGGAUUAGGAGCAUCAAAUUCACUAAUUCACAUAAUAAAUCAUCCAAAAACGCAAGAAUGAGAUUAAAAACAUGUUACUUUUAUGGCUUAUCACUCCUCCUCACUAAAGGCAUGCACAAAUACCCGACUGGCAAUUUCUUAAGUUGAUUGAGUCAAAUUAUUGAAAGAAAACACUACUAUCAAGGAAUUAAAAUAUCCAUUAUAAAAAGUAAUUAGUGAAUAGUUUUGAAAAAUUAAAUAAAUAAAUUUCUUAAGUGCAUUAUUUGCAAAUAUUAACCUUUUGGAAAUUGAUAAAUAUUAAUAACGUGUCAAUAUAAUUGUAAACUAUAUUCUUGGUGAUAAUUAUGUCAUGUUCUUAUUAUGUAAAUUCAUGAUAUUAUGUCGCUUUUAGACCUGUCCAUGGGUCGAGCCCGGAAAAAAAUUUCGGCCCGACUCUUAGGCCCGGGCCCGGCCCGGCCCAAAAUAUGGGCUUAAAAUUUUGCCCGGGCCCGGCCCGGGAAAAAAAUAAGCCCGAGCCCAGCCCGGCCCGACCCGUUUUUUAAUAAACACAAAAAAAAAUUUAAAAAUAAAAAAAUAAAAAUAUUUUUAAAGUAUUUUAAAAUUAAAAAAUAAAAAUAAAAAAUAUUUAUUUAUUAUAUUUGGGCCGGGCCGGGCCUGGGCCAAAAAAGUUGAGCCCGAGCCCGGCCUAUUUUUUAAACGGGCCUCGUUUUUUUGCCCAAGCCCAUAUUUCGGGCCUAUAUUUUUACCCAAACCCUCCCAUAUUUCGGGCGGGCCGUCGGGCCGGGCCGCAUGGACAGGUCUAGUCGCUUUGAAUAAAUUUGUCAAAUAGCAUAUUUCAAUUAAUAUGAAGUAGCAUAAGAAAUCAUUUUACACAAGUAAAUUGAAAAUAAGUUAAAAGUGCAUAAAUAUUCAAGCAGUAGACACAUAUCCAAACAAGUAAAAACAAAAAUUUAAGAAACACGACAUUGUCGUCUAGCUGCCAUCAAAUUAGUAGUGAUGUCAUUACAAACUUUUGUCAUUUCAUUAGUACUCAUACACUAAACUUCUUGAGUAGAGUUUUUUGUAUAUUGAAAAUAUCUCCCGACAAUGUUGAUUUUUGUAGAUUCACAGUGGAGGGUGUCUUUUUUUGUUUUUUUAGAUUUACUUUGGGCUUUUGAGAUGAAAGUGAAAAUGGGAUAAUGAAGGCUACUGAUAUCUUGGCACCCCUGUUAGGUUUGAUAGCAUGCGGCAAAGGGAGUAAAUUUUUAGCAAGCAUAGUCAGAUAUGUCAUUCCGCAUAUCUCAUUCUCAAUCAAGUGUUAGUAAAAGUUGUCCAUUGCUAUGUAAAAUUUUUAGACCAAUAGUCUGAACAUCUAAAGAUUAAAGCCAAUGAGGUAUAAACAAGUGAUUUUGCGAAAACAAACUAAGAGAAAUCAAGUUUCUCGCUAAAUCUCAACAUUAAUUGUAAAAAGAUGUGAUAUUGUUUUGUGGUAGAUGCAUUAAUCUUUAGAUGUUUUAUUAGUCCGCCAAUUCAUAAAAGUUUGGCAUGCUCUAAUAAUUGCUCUUACAGAUUUAUAUGAAUCACUAUAUAUUAAAGUUUAAAUAAAAAUCCUUCAAGGAUUUAGAAUGUUGGAAACAUAUAGAAUGAUCUAACAUGCACAUAUAUAGAAGGAUUAUGAUCAAAGUUUUUUUAUGAUUAUUGUUAAACUCUUGGAGAUAUCAAAAUAUAUUCUCCAGAAUUUUUAGUUACCUAUAACUUUCAAAAAAAAUGAUGAUAUAAACGUUUAUCAAAUCUAUUUAAGUGAUUAUUUGAAAACUUAAUAUUCAAGAUUGAAAUAUGUAGAAUAUGAUAAAUUACGUGACGUUGUCAUUAAGGGGUAAAUAUGCGCUGUAUUUUUUUUCUCUUAACUAAGGUUUUGUCCAACUGAAUUUUCUUAGUAAGGUUUUUAAUGAGGUAAUAAGAUAUGUGUAUUAUAAAUAAGUGUACUCUUUUUCCAUCACUAAGAUUGUUUUUCUCAUAGGGUUUUUAUCUCAGUAAGCUUUUAAUGAGGUAUAUUAUCUACUAAUGGAUAUUUAAGAGGGAGUGUUGUAGAUAUCCAUCAAGAUCAAGAUAAGUUUGAUGAAUUUUAGGACUCAUACCUAUAAAUAUAGACUUUGGAGAGUAUUGUAAACAACCCAAUUGAUCAAUAAAAAUAGGGGUGAAGUCAGGAAAUUUUUUGAUGGGGGUCGGAAUUAAAUUAUAUAUUUUUAAAAUAUCAAAAAUGAAAUUUCAUCAUUUUACUACGGGUAUCAUUUAAUAUUAGGUAGUCAAUGCUUUUAUCUUAUCGUCACACUUGCUUUUGAGGUUGGGUUGAUUUGAUAUUCAUGACUAAAUUUAUGAGAUUUUUUUAUCAAUCCUUUUUUGUUUUGUUUCGAAAUUCCCGUAUUAUUUAAUACUAUACACCACUUUCAUCCUUCAAUUAUUGUGGUGAACCAAUGACGUCGAAAAUAGUAAAUAAGCACAACCGGAACUGUAAUUAACAUUUAAUCAUUUGAUUAAAAGUGUGUCUUACAUUGUGUGCUUUUAGCUAAAAAAAUUGAUUUAUUUUUUUAAAUAUUUUUUAAAAAUGUUCAUUUUAUUUAAUUUAUCUGGUAAUAAUUUAAUUUUAAUUUUAAAAUUUGAAAAGUAGAUAAAUUAAAUUUUAAAAAAUAAAAAUAUAAUGAUUAAAUUUUAAAUUUAUGAAUAGUACAAUAGUGACUGUGCUUGGCAUUAAAGUGGGGGCCACUCUUUGUCGCCUCCAUUUCUCCUUCCCAAGCAAUAUAAAUAAAGAAAAAAGCCUGAUUUUGGGAGGAAAGUUUGAAUGGAAAAACAAGAUUACAAGUGAAGAAAGAUAAUGGUUGAGGAAGUGGGAGAGCAUUUGAUAUUUUGAGGCAAAGGCUCGCUUAUAGUAAAGAUCCCGACGGCGGUGGCUAGGGCCAAGGAAGAAAGAAAAAAUAAUCUAUCAUUCCUUUACAAGAUAAAUAUAUAAUUUUUUUAAUACUUACUCUAAUUCAUUAUUCAUCAUGUGAAAAAUAAAUUCUUUUAUUAAAAUAGUAUUUAAAAAAUUUCAACUUAAUCUAAAUAUUAACUAUUUGAACUAACUAAUAAUAUUAUAAAUCAACCUCAACACUAGACUAUUGAAAGCAUUCCCGUCAUCUCCAACACAACGACCACAUAUAUCCGCAAGGAUACCUUCCGGCAAUGACAGUAGUCUAGAAGAUUGGUUUUCAAAUGUUAUUUCUUGUUUCAUUUUUCACAUGUGCUAACACGAACAUGUUUACACUACUCGCUCUUAGAAGAGAAACUUGAAAAGAAAUUAUUUUUAAAAAUAAUUUCUUGUGAAAGAGGCUGUUUUCAUUUUUCUAGGAACAAGGAAGAAAACAGUAAACAGACUUAUCAGAUAAAAUUAUGUUUCAUAGUCAAGAUUGAUGUCCUUUGAAAACAUCCCAAAAUUGUUCAAGAUUACACAUGCUAGUGAAUGCUUUUAUUCAAGAUUGCACAUGCUGCUCAUGGUGGGUUGAUUUGAUAUUUAUGAGAUUUAUUUAAAUCAAUUUUGUUUACAGUUUCAGCCUUCAAUUAUUGUAGUGAACCAAUCAUGUCAAAAAUAUUAAAUAAGCACAAUACAACAAGGACUUUAAACAACUCUACCCAACUUUCAGCGAAUACAUACAAGAGCGAUUAGUGAGUUGUCGGGAAAAGUUUGGCUAUCUUUUUACACAAGAUAGGCAGUGGAGUAUUAGGGGUUAGCAGGACUCGCUCUCUUCAAAAUGGAAAGUUGUUUAUUUUCUUAAAAUUUUAAAUUAAUAAUUUGAUGAUAUUUCAGUAAGUUUUUUUAUGUUAUUGACAUAUAAUUUUAGUAAUUUUUUUAGUCUAAACUCUGAACUUUGAAAUCGAACCUCAAACUAUUAACCAUUAAUUAUGAGGUUCGAGACUUAGGGUUCGGGGUUCGAAGUUCAAAUUUAGAGUUCGAGGUUUGGGCUCAGGAUUUGGGGUUCAAGAUAAAAAAUUACCAUAAUUAUUAUGUGUCAAUGACAUAAAAAAAUUUACUGACAUGUCAUAAAAUAUUUUGUUAUGACAUGCAAAUUAUUUUGUUUGAUACAAAUUUUUUAUUGCUUUAAUAUAUGGUAUGAAUUGUUUGACCAGAAAUUAAUAUAUAUUUUUAAAAUUUUUAAUUUAUUUUACAGUUUACUAUCGAGGAGGAGUAACCAAAUUUACCAUAGGAAAGUAGGAUAUACAUUUGAAUGUAUCAUCAAAUAGAAAAGAGGUUUAACAAGUUCCCAUUCUCAUAGAAGAGGAGUAAGGAAAUCACAUACAAGAUUGCGAUAUGAGAGAGUAAAAAAGAGAUGCGAAUAUAGCCAAAACAAUAGGUGUGGGGAAUGGAAUCCCAAAGAAGAAGCUGGCAGCUGGGAUCCAUGUUUAUUGUCAUUCUUGGUUAAGCUAUUGCAGUGUUUGGGCCAUUGAUUACUGGUUUGAGCUGUUGUGAAAUUGUGUGGAUGAUGAUGACCUUUCUCGGCUUUGCAUUUUUUGUCUUAAUAUUCUUCCCUAUAAUAUAUAUUUUUUAUGGAGAAAAAAAAAACUAAUCCUUCAAUUUUAUUUGGAAUUGUAGUAAUUCCACUUUACCUGUUGCAGAAGCAGCAAUAGCUAGAUUGACGAAGCCUGUUGAAGUUUUUCUUUUCAAAAUUAUUUGCGAAGGCAAUAAUAGGGUUAAGGUAUGAUGAAGCUUCAUAAAUUCUGUAAUUAAGCUCCCAUAUCUUAUUCUAAUAAUUUUUUAAUCAAUUUCUGCAAUAAAAUUUUAAUAUGCGAAAUAUAUCAUUUAAAGACAGGUUUGUGUUUUUUUGAAAGAGACAAGUCCUUGUUACUUUGUCAAGUACAUAGAGCUGAAGCAUCCACAACAAAUACGUAAUCAAACGUUAAACAUAAUUUGAAUGUGCAGCAAAAGAGAAAAAUAACUUCAGAACAAGUAAACUCAUAUAAACAAACAAAGAGCUAUUAAGAGAAGCAUCAAUCACAUGUAAGUACAAUCAACAAUCAAACACAAAUGCAAACUACACAAGUUUCAGCUUCAGAUUAUUACAUGACAUUUAUUUAGAACAUAAAAAGUUGAAAAAAAUCAAAUUAUAAUGACAACAACAACUAACAUCACAAGUAACAAGGCAAAGAUCAAACCCUGUUUUCCAAUCUUGAGUUUUCCUGCAAAUGAAGUGGCACGUUUCAAAUAUGAUUACAUCUGAAUUGCUACAUGCCCCACUUCCACCAAUGCCGUAGAAAAUAGGGUGCUACACAAUCCCAGUAGACAAUAUAUUUGCACUCCAACUUUGAGCAUUCAAGAGCCACAUCUUCACAAGGCUUACCGCAUUUAUUACAAUCAAGAUAGUAAUACUUCUUCUUCACAAUGAUGAGUGGAUGUGGAUGAUUUGUUUCUUCAUAGAUGCUCCCGAGUUUGAGGAAUGGAUAGCUUCCAAGAACACAACCAACAUGAGCAGAAGUAUCACAUUUUGUAUAAUGAUAAAACCAACGAUUUGCAUCUCGACUUUCUUCGCAGAUAUCACAAUGAUGACUCUUUGAAUAACUAUUAUCAUCAUUAUCAGUGAGUGAAAGAAGAUGGUCAUCGCAUUUGUGACGAGCUGUAAUUGGAAGUGAAAACCAUCCAAGAUCUAGCACAAAAUUGCAGUCCUUACAACAAAAUGCCCUGUAUCCCCUUGUUGUAUCACCACAAGCAUUGCACUGACCUUCGUAGUCUCUAUAGAAAUAGAGGGGGUGAACAUGUUUCAAACAUGUUCGAGCACCAGGAGUAAGAGCAAUCACACAUCGGAGACAUUUAUUUUCCUCACAUCCAGAACAUUCAUAAGCAAAGGCAUUAGAUAUGUGCCAACAUUCUUGACACUCAAAAGCUUUGUCAGAAAUAAGGGCAAAAGGCUCUUGGCAAUGAUGAUGCCAAACAUUCUUCAUCUUAGUUAACUCGGCACACGCUUUAUGAAGAAAAAAACACAUUCUGGACAGUAAUAAAAUGGAUCCGAGAUUGGCAACAUACACCCGUUGCAACUAUUUUCAUAUCCUCCAACAAAGGGACCUAACAUUAGAUUAUGCAUAUGCUUGAAAUGCUUUAUUUUUGUAGCUUCUCCAGCAUCGUUCCUCUCAAUAACACUGAUGGAACUUUCAUGGGGCAUCUCAUCUUCAUUUUCUACUAUUUCAUAUUAAUCUUUAUCCUUCAUUGUGUUGGUGAAAAGAGGCAGCAGCAAAAUGUUAUUUGUCUUGCUUGGAUAGCAAGCCUCGAGCCUUGCUGAAGAAACAAACUCAGAAGCAAGAACAGAAACAAAUGCAAAAAUGGAAAACAAAAGGAGAGAGUAUUUUUGAAUGAAAAGAGCUGAUAUUUUUCAUUAAAAAAUCAAGAAGGCAUAAUGCCAUUACAUAUAAUAGAUAACAACAACAAAAUGAACAAGUCAUUACCUAAUGACAUACCUAACACCACUAAAUUUACAUUGGAAAUUGUUAAUCAGCUUGCUUAAGUUUCUUUGCUGAUUUUCAGUCAAUCAAUCAACAAAAAAAAAACAUCAUAAGGUUUACCAACUUAGUUCAACAUGAACUAGAUUACAAAAUAAUUAAAAAUACAAUCAAAACAUAACAAGUAGUUAGGCAACUUCAAGCUCCAGUUUCUGCACUUCAUAGCUCGACUGCUUGCUGCCACUUCUCCUUGCAUGGCCACCUUUGCAUGUCUUGCAUGGGAACUAAAUUCAACACUCCUCCUUAGUUUCCAUGCUAGAGACACCUAAUUGCCUUCUUAAUUUAAAAAAUUUAGACACAUUGAGUGCCUUUGUAAAGAUAUCAGCAAUUUGCUCUUCUGAAUUGCAAUGAACCAGCUCGAUUUCAUGAGCUUGCUCCAUCUCCCUUAUGACAUGUGGCUUGAUGUUGAAGUGUUUUGUUCUACCAUGAAAGAUAGGAUUCUUUGCAAUUGCAACAGCAGAUUUGUUGUCACAGUAAAUCUCUAUUGCCUUUUCUUGAUUUUGGUUUAAAUCAGCUAGGAUUUUUCUAAGCUAUAUGGCUUGAUUUACAGCAGAUGCAGCAGUAACAUAUUCAGCUUCUACUGUUGACUGUGCUACCAGACUUUGCUUUUUAGAACUCCAGCAAAACAUGCAUGAGCUAAGACUAAAUGCAUAUCCAGAUGUGCUCCUCAUGUCAUCACAAAAUCCAGCCCAGUCACUAUCAACAUAGCCUAUCAGCUUCAUGUUUUCAGCCCUUUUGAACAAUACACCAUGAUCAAUGGUGCCUUUGAUGUAUCUUAGCACUCUUUUAGCUGCUUGAAAGUGCUGAUCAUUGCAGCAAUUCAUGUAUCUGGAUAGCACACUAACAGCAAACAUGAUAUCAGGUCUUGUUGCAGUCAAAUACAACAGACUACCAAUGAGACUUUUGUAUAUAGUCUCGCAAAUUGGUUCACCACUCCCUUGCCUCGAAAGCUUCACUCUAACAGCCAUUGGUGUGCUUGUUGGCUUGCAGUUCUUCAUAGAGAACUUAUCCAGGAUCUUCAUAGUAAAAGAACUCUGACUAAGAAAGAUUCCCUUUGCUGUUUGCUUCACUUCCAUUCCAAGGAAGUAGUUCAUUCUGCCUAAAUCAGACAUUUCAAACAUUUCCAUCAUUUUUCUUUUGAAAUCUUCCAGCAUUCUUCUAUCUCCUCCAGUCACCAAUAAAUCAUCAACAUAGAGUGACAGGAUAAGCUGAGUUUCAGCUUGGUUCUUCUUCACAUACAGUGUUGGUUCACUGGGACUUCUCUCGAAUUCCAAACUGAGCAAGUAAGAAUCAAUUCAAGCAUACCAGGCUCGAGGAGCCUGUUUCAAGCCAUACAAAGCCUUUUUCAGUUUGUACACCAUGUGUUCUUUGCCAGUGAUCAUAAAUCCUUGAGGCUGCUCGAUGUAGAUCUCUUCUUCCAGGAAACCAUUGAGAAAUGCAGACUUAACAUCAAGCUGAUGAAUGGUCCACUGAUGUUGAGCAGCCAAGGCAACUAUCAUUCUAACUGUGUCAAGCCUGGCUACUGGUGCAAAUGUCUCCAGGUAGUCCAGACCAUACCUUUGGCUAAAUCCUUUGACAACAAGCCUGGCUUUUAGCUUGUUCAGACUGCCAUCUGCAUUCUGUUUUGCUCGAUAGACCCAUUUUACUCCAAUGGUCUUCUUUCCAGCAGGUUUAUCAACUAGCUCCCAUGUCUGGUUCUUCUCAAUCAUGUUGAUUUCAUCGACCAUAGCUAGUUUCCAACCUUCAUCUGCCUCAGCCUCUUCAAAACUGCUAGGUUCUGCUAUUGCAACAUGUGCCCUUUCAUAAAUAUCAUCUAGGGGCCUUGUGCCUCUCACAGGCAAAUCAUCAACAUCCAUUUCAGGUCCUAGCUGCUCAAGUUCAGCUUGAUUAGGCACCAGGUCUUCUGAAACUGCUUCUGGCUCAUUUUUCUCCCAAUUCCAGCAGGCUUUUUCAUCAAAGAUGACAUCUCUGCUCACCUGGACUUUGUUUGUCAAGGGAUCCAGAACCCUUAGCCCUUCUUGACUGAGCUGUAGCCUACUAGAACACCUGGUUGAGCCCUUUCAGAGAGCUUGUCUCUCUUUGCUACUGGUAUUUGUGCAUAACAUAGGCAACCAAACACCUUCAGAUGUGCCAAGGAAGGCUUGAAACCGAACCAAGCCUCGAAAGGUGUCUUGGAUGCAAGAGCUUUGGUAGGAAGCCUAUUCUGAAGAUAAACAGCAGUGUUUACUACCUCAGCCCACAUGGUCUUGGGCAGUUUCUUCUCAAACAGGAGACAUCUGGCCAUAUCCAUUAGACUUCUGUUCUUUCUUUCAACUACCCCAUUCUGCUGAGGUGUGUAGACAUUUGUAAGCUGGUGUUUGAUACCAGCAUCAUUGCAAAUGGCUUGAAACUGAGCUGAAGUGUACUCAGUGCGAUUUUCUGUCCUUAUCGAUUUCAUCUUGCAACCUGUUUCUGUCUCUACAACAGUUUUAAACUUCAUAAACACUUGAGCUACCUCAGACUUGUGUUUCAAGAAGAAAAUCCAGCAAAACCUUGUAAAAUCAUCAAUGAAGAGGAUGAAAUACCUAUUUUUGCUAAGUGAUUCAGUCCUCAUCGGGCCACAUACAUCAGAGUGCACCAGCUGCAGUCUUUCAGUAGCUCUCCAAGCUGAAUUUGUAGGAAAUGGCAGUCUUGCCUGUUUCCCCAUCUGGCAAACUUUACACACAUCAUCAUGCUCCACUGAGCUGGUGAAGUUCUCUGCCAAGCCCUCUUUGGCCAUUCGAGCCAUUGAUCUGAAGUUGGCAUGUCCGAGCCUUUGAUGCCAAAGCUUGGAGUCAUCAACAGAGGCUGUGUAUGCUGACUUUGAGUCAUUUGGCCAGUGAACCUCAAAGCAUUUAUCAGUCAUUGUGACUGUCAUAAGGCUUGAUCCACUUGGAUCAGCAAUGUGGCACUGUUUGUCUUUGAACACAACAGAAUAGCCUUUCUCGAGCAAUUGAGCUAUGCUGAGAAGGUUUCUGUCAAUCUCAGGCACCAACAAAACAUUUGAGAUGACUUUGUUGCCUGUAGAAGUGCAUAUCAACACUUCUCCUCUUCCUUCAGCUUUUAUAAACUGACCAUUUCCAACCUUAACCUUGGUUUUACAGCUUGUGUCCAAGGUUUUAAACAAAGAUGCAUCUGGUGACAUGUGGUUGGUGCAGCCACUGUCCAAUAGCCACCCUUUUGAGCAUUUCUUCUCAGCAGCUAAGCAAGACACAGCAAAGACCUGCUCUUCCUGGUCACUACUGUCUUCAGCCACUCGAGCUUCAACCUUUGGUUGUUGAAAUUGGUUCUGUCUUGGCUUGUUUCUGUUCUUACAGACCCUUUCAACAUGACCCUUCCUUCUGCAGUGUUGGCACACAGCAUCUGGUCUAAACCAGCAUCUGUCUUCUGGAUGACCUAGCUUUUUGCAAUGUCUGCAGGGCUGGUCACUGUUCCUUGCAGCAUCAGGCUUAGGCCUGUUUUUCCAGAGCCUUUUGCCUUUAUGAGUAUUGGUGCUCGAGGCUUCUCUGGCUCUAGCUUGAAAUGCACCUUCCUGGUGGUCUUCAGCUCUGCUAGCUCUCAUUUGUUCCUGAGCAUAAAAAGUGUUGAUUAGCUCAGUCAAGGAGAUGGUAGCAAGGUCUCUUGAGUCCUCAAGAGAGGAUAUCUUGGCCUCAUAUCUCUCAGGCAAAGUGGAGAGGACUUUCUCUACUAUCAUUGCCUCAUCAAAGUGCUCACCAAGGAGCCUUAUACUGUUAACCACUGCCAUGAUUCUAUCUGCAUACUGCUUCACUGUUUCUUCUUCCUUCAUCUUCAGAUUCUCAAAAUCCCUUCUCAAAUUCAACAGCUGCUGUUGCCUUGUCCUCUCAGUGCCUUGAAACUCCUCCUUAAGCUUAUCCCAGGCCUGUUUUGGAGUCUCACAAGCCAUAAUUCUGGUGAAGAUGACAUCUGACACACAGUUUUGAAUGCAGGACAUGGCUUUGUGCCUUUUGGUCCUUUCAUCAGCAUGUUGCCUGAUCUGAGCUACUGUGGGAUUGGCCCUCAGUGGUGCUGGCUCAACAUCUGUGUUGACAACUUCCCACAAAUCAAAGGCCUGCAGGUAAGUCUUCAUCUUGACCAGCCAUAUGUGGAAGCCUUCUCCAUUGAAGACUGGUGGGGCUGUUGGUGAAAAACUUGAGGAAGACAUUCAGCUUUUUUAGUUUGAUACAACAGGUCCACUAAGAAUGAAGCUCUAGAUACCAAUUGUUGGUGCAAAGAGGCAGCAGCAAAAUGUUAUUUGUCUUGCUUGGAUAGCAAGCCUCGAGCCUUGCUGAAGAAACAAACUCAGAAGCAAGAACAGAAACAAAUGUAAAAAUGGAAAACAAAAGGAGAGAGUAUUUUGAAUGAAAAGAGCUGAUAUUUUUCAUUAAAAAAUCAAGAAGGCAUAAUGCCAUUACAUAUAAUAGAUAACAACAACAAAAUGAACAAGUCAUUACCUAAUGACAUACUUAACACCACUAAAUUUACAUUGGAAAUUGUUAAUCAGCUUGCUUAAGUUUCUUUGCUGAUUUUCAGUCAAUCAAUCAACAAAAAAAAACAUCAUAAGGUUUACCAACUUAGUUCAACAUGAACUAGAUUACAAAAUAAUUAAAAAUACAAUCAAAACAUAACAAGUAGUUAGACAACUUCAAGCUCCAGUUUCUGCACUUCAUAGCUCGACUGCUUGCUGCCACUUCUUCUUGCAUGGCCACAUUUGCAUGUCUUGCAUGGGAACUAAAUUCAACACAUUGCACACUUCACAUGGUAUAUAACAUCACACUUUGAACAACAGUAACUACCAUGCUCUAUAUUGACUUCAUCAUGGUAUAUUAGGCAAUCCAAAACCCUAAAAUCUUCUAUGUGAUGGAAAUAUGUGUGAAUAAGGGGAUGGUCAUGCCACUUACUUUUGAUAAUGCGAGGCAAUGAAAUGCAAUUUUUAUGGAUUAUAAUGCUGCAUGUACCACAUGUAUAGGAAACAUGAUUUCCUUCAGUGUCACAAGCAUCACAAGUGAAUGGAACUUGUCUCAAAAACAAAGUGAAUGGAUGUUCAUGAUUUGUAUUCUUAAUAACUUGUAAUGAUGAUUGUGAUGCACAUUCAAUGUGAACAACAAACUUACAAGGAGAACAACCAUAAACAAAUCCUCUUCGCCUUGGUACUUAGCAUACAUUGCAAGAGAGUCGUUUGCUAUUAAAUUGUAGAACAAGAGGAUGCUUGCGAUGGUCACAUGAUUGAGUUUGAAAGGAAGCUCAGCGCAUUUCUCAUGUAAAUUAAAUCCACAAUCAGGAGAAAAGUGUGUACACAUUGCUAAUGGUUCCCAACAUCCAAAGCACUUACUAACAUCUUUGAGUUUUUUAUCACCAUUUUCAGUGGAAAUCAAUGGAUCAUGAAGGGCAACAUGCUCAAGCUCUUUCAAAUUAUUCUCAGCAAUAUUAAGUGUAAACAAAGCACAUUUAAUAUGAAAGUCCAAUUCACAACUAGAGCAGUGAUAAACAGACUUGUCACCAAAUUCAUGGCAGAAAGUGCAAAAGUACGCUCCAGAUAAAUGAGGUGACUUUUGCAUAAGAAGAAGAGGAUGGUUGAGAUGAAAAGGGUGAUUAAGUUCCAAAGGUGCCUCGGCACAUACCUUGUGAAGAUAAAACCCACAGUGCUCCGCACAGUAAAAACAUGGAGCAGACACUUUAUCCCCACACCUGGAGCAAUCAGUUACACCGCUUUGAUUGUCGAUCAGCUGCUCUUGAUUCAACAUAAGAAACAGGGGAUGUUGGUGCUCAUUAAACAAG
rnacentral:lncRNA from 1 species